UGUUAAUAUUAAAUCUGCUAUGAAAUUCUCCAGCAACAGGUAUUAGCAGAGAAACACACCAACUCUAGGCCCUUUCCAGUACAGGUAACAGAACAGAUGAUCAUCAUUGGUCAGACGCAACAUCACGGCACAUCAUGUCGCAACCAUUCUUGCCGCACAUGCUCCGUAGAGACAAGAAUCUCCUUGGUGCACUUCUAGAUGGAACAAGGCCCCAUCUUCCAGCUCUCUGGAGUUGUACGCAUAUCAUGGAGGAGGCUGGUUGCACGAUCUGUGCACAGGAAUUCAAGAAGCAGCAGGUGACGGAUGCUUUGCCUUCCCUCGUGGAGACUGAAGGAAGAGGAGGGUCUGCACAGAUUCUGCAUCCCUGUCCUUAGGAUGACAUUCACCAAAAUCUGAUCCAGGAGUUGAGCAGAAACGGUGGAGGCAGGAGUGUGGAGGCUUCAAGACAAAUCUACCAGUAAUAAUCCAUGAAUGUGCGCGGCUAAAUUUAGCACUCAGCCCGCUCUCCCAGCGUGCGCGGGGAUGGAUUGGAUGAGAAAAGGGGCUGAGCGGGAUUGGCUGCGCGCACUCUGCUGUCUAACCUGAGGGCGAAACUGGGAGCCCCGGUCUCCGGGCUGGUGCGCAGCCUUCGCACCUUGAUGGAUAAAAAUAAAUAAAUAAAUAAAACAGAUGAGA